rnacentral:rRNA from 1 species
AACGAACGCUGGCGGCAGGCUUAACACAUGCAAGUCGAACGCCCGUAGCAAUACGGGAGUGGCGGACGGGUGAGUAACGCGUGGGAACGUGCCCUGAGGUACGGAAUAACUGCGGGAAACUGCAGCUAAUACCGUAUGAGCCCCGCAAGGGGGAAAGAUUUAUCGCCUUAGGAGCGGCCCGCGUCGGAUUAGCUAGUUGGUGGGGUAACGGCUUACCAAGGCUUCGAUCCGUAGCUGGUCUGAGAGGACGAUCAGCCACACUGGGACUGAGACACGGCCCAGACUCCUACGGGAGGCAGCAGUGGGGAAUGUUGCGCAAUGGGGGCAACCCUGAAGCAGCCAUGCCGCGUGAAUGAUGAAGGCCUUAGGGUUGUAAAGUUCUUUUGCCCGUGACGAUGAUGACGGUAACGGGAGAAUAAGCUCCGGCUAACUUCGUGCCAGCCGCCGCCGUAAAAC